rnacentral:rRNA from 2 species
ACUACGUUCUAAACCUAAAGGCGCAAUGAAAGUAAAGGUCCGCCUCGCGCGGACCGAGGGAGGAUGGGACCGUUCGCGGACGGACCCCGCACUCCCGGGGCGUCUCGUUCUCAUCGCGAGGAGAGGCGCACCCAGAGCGUACACGCUGGGACCCGAAAGAUGGUGAACUAUGCCUGGUCAGGACGAAGUCAGGGGAAACCCUGAUGGAGGUCCGUAGCGAUUCUGACGUGCAAAUCGAUCGUCGGAACUGGGUAUAGGGGCGAAAGACUAAUCGAACCUUCUAGUAGCUGGUUCCUUCCGA